rnacentral:lncRNA from 10 species
GUCUUGCUCUGUCACCCAGGCUGGAGUGCAGUGGUGGGAUCUAGGCUCAUUGCAACCUCUGCUCACUGCAAUCUCUGCCUCCCGGGUUCAAGUGAUUCUCCUGCCUCAGCCUCCUGAGUAGCUGGGAUUACAGGCACACACCACCACACUUGGCUAAUUUUUGUAUUUUUAGUAGAGACGGGAGAUGGGGUUUCACCAUGUUGGUCAGGCUGGUCUCGAACUCCUGACCUCAUGAUCUGCCUGCCUUGGCCUCCCAGAGUGCUGGGAUUACAGGUGUGAGCCACUGUGCCCGGCCCUAUAUUUGUAAUUUCUUUUCAUUACUGGCAGACUUUCCCCUCAUUUACCUGCAUUGCCUUUAAAUUUCCUUAGUCCAUUUCUCCGCAGCUUUGUAUAGUAACAGUCUGGUCUCUGUACAUGCUCUUCAAAAAUUUCAUCUAUUUAAACUCAUUUUCUUUGUAGGAGGUAAAUGAAUUCUUUUCAAGGCAAUCAACCCCAUAUUUAUUCUGUGAAAAUCCUGGAAAUUCUGGCCAUUUUUAUCAACAUUCUUCCUCAUUUGCUAUGUGUUAGUCUCCAGUGGGGUUUCCAGGUGAACAAGUCCCUAAGGAGCUCAAUCAAGUGGGGAAAGAGUCACACAUAUCAACGUUUCACAGCUAAAAUGAUUUGGUGACAGUGAAUACAAUGUGGAGCACAGAGAACAGAGUGACAAAUAACGGCAUUUUCUGAGGUCUCACUGUUGCCCAAGCUGGAUUGCAAUGGCAUCAUCCUAGUUCCCUGCAGCCUGGAACUCCUGAGCUAAAGCAAUCCAUCCGCCUUAGCCUCCUGAGUAGCUGGAACUACAGCGAUGCCGUCUCCUGAGAGGUCCAAGAAUCACCUCAGCACUUUCUUAUGUGCGAUAGGCCAGACCAAGUAAGGGCCUGCCUCACUACUGGAGCCAACUCAGGUGUCCUCCCAAGGCCAGGGAUCUGCAUCACUUCCAGAUUGUUUCGGAAUGAGUCCUGGCAUUGCUGCUACCAAGGUGUAUUUUUACUGCAGUCUGUAUUACUUUCCUAGGGAUGAUGUAAGAAAGUAUCACAAAAUUAGUGGCUUAAAGCCACAAGAAUGUAUCCUACUGUAGUUCUACAGGCAAGAAGUCAAAAUCAAGCUGUCAGCUGGGCCACAUCCCUCUAAAGGCUCUAUGGAAACAUUUUCCUUGUCUCUUUCAGAUUCUGGUGGCUCCAGUCAUUCCUUGGCUUGUGGCUGUAGAACUGUAAUCUCUGCUUUUGUCUUCACAUGGCCUUCUGCUCUUCUUCCUGUGCCUCUCCUUUGCGUGUCUCUUAUCAGGACACGUGUCAUUGAAUUUAGGACCCAUCUGGUUAACCC